rnacentral:rRNA from 1 species
UACGUGGGGGGCAAGCGUUGUUCGGAAUUACUGGGCGUAAAGGGCUCGUAGGCGGCCAACUAAGUCGGACGUGAAAUCCCCAGGCUCAACCUGGGAACUGCGUCUGAUACUGGAUGGCUUGAAUCCGGGAGAGGGAUGCAGAAUUCCAGGUGUAGCGGUGAAAUGCGUAGAUAUCUGGAGGAAUACCGGUGGCGAAGGCGGCAUCCUGGACCGGCAUUGACGCUGAGGAGCGAAAGCCAGGGGAGCAAACGGG